GCUCGCGCUCUCUCCCUGUCUCCCAUAUGUGGGUAUGAUUUAGGACUACCAAUUGGUAUUUCUUCAAUUGACCACCAUAAAUUAGGGUUUUUGGUUUGAAUCAGGGGUUCCUUUUUAUUUCAAUUUAUCAACUCAAGAGUUCAAUUGCUCUGAUUAGUUUGGUUUCUCUCUUUGUUUCAGGGUUCUGAGAGAGAGAUUGUUUAUCCUCUUCCUCAUCCACAGCCCAAGUGUAUCACCACUACCAUAUUGUAAUUUGUUUUAUCAAGUGGAAACACUCGAAUAAACAUAGGAAAGCUUAAAGGUGUUUAGUCAGGAAGAAAAAAUCAGUAGAAAGAUUGAGUUGGUGGAAAGAAAUUGGAGAAGGGCAUUUGAUGAGUCAAUUCAGUGCCUCCUCCAGCGGCAAAACAAGUGAGAACUUCUUGAACUUCUUAAACUUCAAACACGAGGAAUGACAGGGAAGGCUAUUUGCACCCGUCUAAUAAUUUUAAGAUGCUCCGACGACCUUCGACUUUUCUGGCGACGGAAAAGAAGUGUCGAGAUUUUCAUCGACGAAUCCGUCCCGUAUCCCGUGUCGUGUCCCGUGUCGUGUCGUGUCGACACAUGUACGAUCGCCGGAGUAGGCGAGUCGGAGUAACACAGUGUAUAUCAAUGCUCAAUAUCAUAGGUGGAUUACUUUCACAAACAAUGAAGAAAAUGCUUCAAAUUUACAACACCUCCCGAGUCACUAAUUUGUCCUGAAGGUUUAAAAUUAUGAAGAGGGCAAUGCCAUUGGAUGAUCAGAUGAACAUAUCUUCUGAUGAGUCAUUAUCUUCUGAACCAGACAUUGCAGAGUUGGCUGGCAAGCUUGUUCAGGACAUACCAAUUGAUCAACCAACUGACAUUGUUAUGACAACUGAUCUGGACGGCUUUCCCCUUUAGAAAAGAUCAUAUAUAAAUGGUGUAAAGUCAACGGAUUUGAGAUCACAAUGACCUCUUCAUAUACGGUCUUGGGUUGAUUUUCAAAAACAUAGAAAGAAAGAAAAGCACUCUGUUAAUCUGCCUAGAAUUGCUAGUCCAGUAAUGUCAACUGUGCUGCCUGCAGCACCACUGAACAUUUUCCCACAAGAAUUAUGUUGCAAAUAUGAGGGGACAAUUUAAAGUGGUUCCUGGGAGAUUUGGUCUUGGGGCAAUGGAAGUCCCCCGGCCCCCAGAGGUACUGGAAAGCGGUCACUUGAGCAGUGGUCUGCAGACUCUAUAUCAUGAACCAGCUGGUGCAACCGAGGCGUGAUACCAUCAAGCAGUCUCCUGAGUAGUGGGUGGCAGACUCUGAACUGUCACCCGAACAAUGGCCUGCAGGCCCUGAACCAAGAAAAUGCUGGUGAUACUGCGAUAGCGAUGUUGAUCUGGGAAAUCCAGUUAACAUGGACAGUCACAGCUUUGAAGAAGGCACUAGUGCAAAUCAAGUGCUGGACGAUCUGCCUAGUGAGGAGGAAGUUAGUAAUAUGAUACAGGAUCUUGAAGCCUAUGAUUUAUUUGAUUUGAUAAAUUAAAACCAAACAAAGGAGGAAUAUAGCGUAAGUUCGUUCUUUAAAGGCUUACUUGACUUGUCUGGCUGGCCCCAAAUGCUCAAGUUAAAUGAUUGACCUCAAUCUGGGUUUUGUGGAUCAUCUCCCAAGUCAUAAUGUGGAGUUCUUACACACAUCCACAGAGCGGCUACUUGAACCUUGCUGUCAAGUUACCCGAGGGCCAUCUGAAGCCAGACAAAGGGCCAAAGCUGUAUACUGCUUAUGGCUUUUCCCAGCAACUCGGACGUGGUGACUGUCUCAAAACUCAGCUAUUAUAAUUCAGAUGCGGUAUGAUCUAGUUUGUAAAUAGAGUGAAUAACUUUCACAAACAAUGAAGAAUAUGCUCCAAAUUUACAACCUCUCCCAAGUUAAGUUGUUUUUAAUUGUGCAAACAAUUUUGUUACCUAUGCAAUGUAUAUAUCAAUGUAUGUCAUAGAAUCACCUCCACUGUUUAUCAAUUAUCGUACUUCAUAAAUAUGACUUAGUCAUGUAGUUUAGAAAUCUUAGUAUUUUUGUCCAUAUCUUUUAAUAAUUUGUAAAGUUUGGUAUAUUCA